UACGUAGGUGGCAAGCGUUGUCCGGAUUUACUGGGCGUAAAGAGCGCGCAGGCGGUCGUUCAAGUCGCGUGUGAAAGCCCCCGGCUCAACUGGGGAGGGUCACGCGAUACUGAUCGACUGGAAGGCAGGAGAGGGUAGUGGAAUUCCCGGUGUAGUGGUGAAAUGCGUAGAUAUCGGGAGGAACACCAGUGGCGAAGGCGACUUCCUGGCCUGUUCUUGACGCUGAGGCGCGAAAGCUAGGGGAGCAAACAGG
rnacentral:rRNA from 1 species